rnacentral:rRNA from 1 species
UACGGGGGGGCAAGCGUUGUUCGGAAUUACUGGGCGUAAAGCGCACGUAGGCGGAUUUGUAAGUCAGGGGUGAAAUCCCGGGGCUCAACCUCGGAACUGCCUUUGAUACUGCAAAUCUCGAGUCCGGAAGAGGUGAGUGGAAUUCCUAGUGUAGAGGUGAAAUUCGUAGAUAUUAGGAAGAACACCAGUGGCGAAGGCGGCAUUCUGGACCGAUAUUGACGCUGAGGAGCGAAAGCCAGGGGAGCAAACGGG